GAACGCACAUUGCGCCCCUCGGUAUUCCGUGGGGCAUGCCUGUUCGAGCGUCAUUUAACCCCUCAAGCCUAGCUUGGUAUUGGGUGCUUGUCCCGCCUCUCGCGCGGCGACUCACCUCAAAGUCAUUGGCAGCCCGCAUUCCGCCGGCCGUGAGCGCAGCACAGACGCGCUCUUGGCAACGGCGGGUCGGCUCUCCAAAAGCUUAUUUCAACCAUUGACCUCGGAUCAGGUAGGGAUACCCGCUGAACUUAAG
rnacentral:misc_RNA from 1 species